AGAGUUUGAUCCUGGCUCAGGAUGAACGCUGGCGGUCUGCUUAACACAUGCAAGUCGAACGGGCUCUUUCGGGAGCUAGUGGCGGACGGGUGAGUAACGCGUGAGAAUCUGCCAAAAGGACUGGGACAACCACUGGAAACGGUGGCUAAUACCGGAUGAGCCGCAACGUAAAAGAGGAAACUCGCCUUUUGAGGAGCUCGCGUCUGAUUAGCUAGUUGGUGAGGUAAGAGCUCACCAAGGCAUCGAUCAGUAGCUGGUCUGAGAGGAUGAUCAGCCACACUGGGACUGAGACACGGCCCAGACUCCUACGGGAGGCAGCAGUGGGGAAUUUUCCGCAAUGGGCGAAAGCCUGACGGAGCAAGACCGCGUGAGGGAGGAAGGCUCUUGGGUUGUAAACCUCUUUUGUCAGGGAAGAACACAAUGACGGUACCUGAAGAAUCAGCAUCGGCUAACUCCGUGCCAGCAGCCGCGGUAAUACGGGGGAUGCAAGCGUUAUCCGGAAUGAUUGGGCGUAAAGCGUCCGCAGGUGGCAGUUCAAGUCUGCUGUCAAAGACCGGGGCUUAACUUCGGAAAGGCAGUGGAAACUGAACAGCUAGAGUAUGGUAGGGGUAGAGGGAAUUCCCGGUGUAGCGGUGAAAUGCGUAGAGAUCGGGAAGAACAUCGGUGGCGAAAGCGCUCUACUGGACUGCAACUGACACUCAGGGACGAAAGCUAGGGGAGCGAAUGGGAUUAGAUACCCCUGUAGUCC
rnacentral:rRNA from 1 species